ACGUAGGGUCCGAGCGUUGUCCGGAAUUACUGGGCGUAAAGCGCGCGCAGGCGGUCUGGUCAGUCGAUGGUGAAAGCCCCACGCUCAACGUGGGAAGGUCCGUCGAGACGGCCAGACUGGAGGCAGGGAGAGGUCGGUGGAAUUCCGGGUGUAGUGGUGAAAUGCGUAGAGAUCCGGAGGAACACCAGAGGCGAAGGCGACACCCUGGGCCGUACCUGACGCUAAGACGCGACAGCACGGGGAGCGAACGG
rnacentral:rRNA from 1 species